UUCUGUAAGCCGUUGAAGGUGACCCGGGAGGGUUGCUGGAGGUAUCAGAAGUGCGAAUGCUGACAUGAGUAACGAUAAGGGGGGUGAAAAACCCCCCCGCCGGAAGACCAAGGUUUCCUGCGCAACGCUAAUCGGCGCAGGGUUAGUCGACCCCUAAGGCGAGGGCGAAAGCCGUAGUCGAUGGGAAGCAGGUUAAUAUUCCUGCACU
rnacentral:rRNA from 1 species